UAGCGGAGGAAAAGAAACCAACAGGGAUUGCCCCAGUAACGGCGAGUGAAGCGGCAACAGCUCAAAUUUGAAAUCUGGCCCCUAGGGCCCGAGUUGUAAUUUGCAGAGGAUGCUUUUGGCGAGGUGCCUUCCGAGUUCCCUGGAACGGGACGCCAUAGAGGGUGAGAGCCCCGUCUGGUUGGAUGCCGAGCCUCUGUAAAGCUCCUUCGACGAGUCGAGUAGUUUGGGAAUGCUGCUCUAAAUGGGAGGUAUAUGUCUUCUAAAGCUAAAUACCGGCCAGAGACCGAUAGCGCACAAGUAGAGUGAUCGAAAGAUGAAAAGCACUUUGAAAAGAGGGUUAAAUAGUACGUGAAAUUGUUGAAAGGGAAGCACUUAUGACCAGACUUGGACCCGGUGAAUCAUCCAGCGUUCUCGCUGGUGCACUUUGCCGGGCUCAGGCCAGCAUCAGUUUGCCUCGGGGGAUAAAGGCUUUGGGAAUGUGGCUCCCUCGGGAGUGUUAUAGCCCAUUGCACAAUACCCUGGGGCGGACUGAGGUUCGCGCAUCUGCAAGGAUGCUGGCGUAAUGGUCAUCAGUGACCCGUCUUGAAACC
rnacentral:rRNA from 1 species